GGUCAUAGUUCAUGCACGCUGGCAGUAUCAGGACAACCAGUUUAAUGAUGAGUUGGAGUCAAAUCUAAAGCAAGAUAUUUUAAGGAGAUUAUCAGCACUGAAGACGAGAAUAUACCGGCAACCCAAAGUGAGAUAUGACCCAACACAAACUCAACCGGUGGAGACAGACAGUUGUGCAGUUUGUCUGGAGCAGUACAACAACAACCAGUGUUUGAGGGUGUUACCGUGCCUCCAUGAAUUCCAUAGAGAUUGCGUGGAUCCCUGGCUUCUCCUCCAGCAGACCUGUCCUCUCUGCAAACGUAGCGUGCUUGAUAAUUUUUAUUGAGCUGUACCAGAAAGGAUUCUCAGAAUUUGUGCAAUUGGAUCGACUCUUCUGAUUCAGACUUCUCAUGGCAACUAAACCCCUCCUCUGUACUGUAAGGUCAGAAUACCUCCAUGGUAAUGAUUUUUUGACCUCUUCAAAGACUAUAAACCUUGAGUUCCUGAUCUUGGGUCAAACCACUUGAGAAUUUUUUUGAAGGUAGGUCCUUCUACAUGGGAUCAGUUGUUUUGCACACAGUUGACUACUUUAGUUAUGUUUGCUGAACCGGCUCAACAAUCCACGAAUACACGGAUUAUGAAGUCAUAUGCACAGCAAAAAAACAAAAGUAAUAUUUUUAAGAUGUCUUCAAAUUAAGGAAGAACCGUACAAGUCUCAAAUUUUUGUUUAAACAAGGGUAGGCAUGAAGUUAGGAUAAAACUAUUUAAGAAAAUAUAAGACAUGUUAUUCAGGCACUUCAUACGAAAUCUGUCUUGUAGAAUAUAACUCAACAUUUUUCACCAAAAACAAAAACCUUGAAGAUUUGAUCUUGACCUCUUUUGAGAACAUACAAAAUGUUUCUGGUAAGACCUUUGAGCAGAAACAUUAUCGUUACGCUUCUUUCUGGAAUGGUUGUGUGGUAUGAAGCCACAAAUACCGUGUCCAUGAUUUAUUAAUUAAUUCUCUAGUUUUAUUUAAACUGUUGCAUUGUUUCAUCUUUCAUUUUAGUCAGAUUUUGGCCAUGAUUCAACUAAGCAAAAAUGAGUGAACAAUUUAGUACAACGGCCACAAUUUACCUUAACAUACAGAAUUUACCUAAUAAUUAGGUAUAACUUUAAACAUGGGCUAAAAUUAUCUUAAGUUAAUCACUACUGUAUCUUUUUUUUCUUUCUAAUGCAUGUCAAGUUUGGGGCUCUGUAGUGUAGUAGUGCUAUUGUAAGUUACGACAGUGUUUUACCUUGACAGCUAAACCUCCAACUCUAACACUAGCACCAAUUAGUUGAAAAUGUUAAUUAAGUUAUUCAGUUCUGUUACUCUAAACUACCCAGUAAAGUGAAAGAUACAUGCGAGCAUCAGUAUUCCAUACAAGGAGCUGCAAGGAUGCCCCAUGCCUGCUCGCUGCACAGAGAGCGACUUUUACUAUUAUUUGUUAUUAUCAUCGCUUUUAAGGAUAAUUUACAUGCAUUUUAGAAGUGCAGUUUCUUUUCAUUUUAGUAUUGAAUUCUCUUUUGAAAUGUCAUGUAAAUGCUUUAGUCUGAAAUCAUGCCAGUCAGGUUUUUGCGUAGUUGGACUACUGAAUCUACACUACCAUUCAAAAAUUUAGGGUCAGUUUAAUAAGAAAUUAAUAUUUUUAUUCAGCAAAGAUGCAGUAUAUUGAUCAAAAACAAUAAAAACAUUCAGAAGUUUCCAAAAUGUUUUCUAUUUCAUAUAAAUACAGCCCUAUUAAACGUUAUAUUCAUAAAAGAAUCCUCAAAAAAUGUAUCACAGUUUACAUAAUUUUAUGCAUUUCUGAAGGACAAGUAAUGUAAAGUAAUGGCUACUAAAAAUUCAGCUUUGCCCUCAAAGACAUCACGUGAAAAAUCUAUAUUUUAAAAUAUAUUAAAAUAGACAUGAUAAUUGGUUUUCAAAUAAUUGCUGUCCUGAUGAGAAUGAGUCUUGUAAGAAAAACCAAUUGUAGCUCAGCUACAGUACGCCUUGUAAUCCCCCCAAAAGUUAUAUUCUCCUUUUAAUGUUAAAUUCUGUAUUGUUUGAUACUAGAAUGGAUAGAUGAAGACUGUAGCUCAUUUGUGACCCUCAACCACAAAAGCAAUCUUAAGUCACUGGGGUAUAUUUUUAGCAAUAGCCAAAAAAACAUUGUAUGUGUCUUUUAUGCCAAAAAUCAUUAGAAUAUUGAGUAAAGAUCAUGUUCCAUUAAGAUAGUUUGUUAAUUUCCUAGCGUAUAUAUAUAAAAAAUUAAUUUUUGAUUAGUAACAUGCAUUGCUAAUAACUUCAUUUGGACAGAUUUAAAGGAAAUUUUCUCAGUAUUUUGAUUUCUUUGCACCCUCAGAUUCCAGAUUUUCAAAUAUUUGUAUAUCGGCUUUCAUAUGAUGUAUAAACCUUAAUCUUGAAAAAUUUACACUGAAGACUGCUUUUGUGGUCCAUGGUCACAUUUAUGCAAAACCCUGCUGUAGCUUGAUUUUAACUUUGCAUGUAAAUGUACUUAAUGACAGAAUAUAGGAAUCUCAUUAAAUGAAAUCACAAUCAAUGCUUAUGCCAAAUCUGAGGAAUUUCCCCAACCCUGGCUAUCACGCUUCAGUCAUGAUACAUGAGCUGAUCUCAGGAGGGCAUCUGCCAGACAGGUAGACAACCAUUUCGUCAAAUAACACUAAACACUCACACAAAGAUGAACAACAGAGAGAGACAGUCUUGGGAACAGUAUUUACUCAUGUUUUAUCUUCCUAUGGUUUGUUUUAUUUCAAACCCAUAAUUAAAUAUGCUUUUUAUUACAAAAAUGCUUUGAAUGUAUCUUAGUAAGCAGAAAUAUGUUACUCCACAUGGCAAGAGAACAUUGUCUAUUCAAAGUCUAUGUGAAAAAUAAAUGGCAGCCUUUGGCACAAUAUGACUCAUGUAGAAAUCAGACUGUGUAUCCAGUCUGUGCAACCUCAAACGGGGAGAUUUCUCAAAAGACUGCUCUGAGCUUAAGUCUUAAUUGCUUUCUGAAUCUUUAAUGAACUGGAACAGGAACUUAUGAGCUGCAUUUUUGCUUCAAUAGGGUAAUGUACCAUAUCUUUUGUAGGAUUUGUUCUUCAAUUUAUUUUAGAUGCUACAUUCUCAAACCUGAUGUUCCUUUAUUUAUUUAUUGAAUUUAACUUAACAGUGCAAUAACUGUUUGUACCUCUUCUCUGUUCAAUAAACUCAUGUGUAACAGGGCAAAAGA